GCCUUAUUGAGAGGUUACGGCGUAAGGCUCGAAACCAGCAGGUCGCAGGUUCAAAUCCUGAAUGAGGCA